CAGGGAGAAGGGAGCACGUCUGUUGACCCCCUCCCCAGUGGUGCUUCCCUCUGUCCAUGAUGCCAUGCUCGCCACCAUGGGGUUUUCUUCUGGAAACAUCUUGAAGAUGGCUGAAGACCUAGGUCCAAAUUCUGUCUCCUGCACCAGGCAGGCUGGAGUCAUUCUCUCUCGUGAUGGUGAUAGAAACCUCUUGAAAAGCCUGGAAGCCUACAGAGGAAAGUCCCUCAAGAAACAUGACUGUUGAAUGAGCCCAACCACAGCCUCCUUCAAAUGUGAUCAGUUCAGUUACCUGAAGACUUGGGCUUCCCAUGCUGCCUUCUCCCUUCUUGCCAGUGAUAAAGAAAGGUUUCCUCAUUUGCUGCCAUGAAAGCGCAAGGCCUCGGGUUUCACUGAUAAUAUCAGCCAAAGCUGAAACAGCAUUGGGAACAAAGCUCUCUCGCAGUCUAGGGGCACCGAUAAGAAGGAAGUAGGCAGUUAUUCUGGCGUGGUUCAUAUAAAAGAAAGAAGAAAGAAUUUUUUUUUUUUUAUGGAGUCAAGUUUUAAGAACAAAAGGACAAAUGGUACACCUGAAUGGAUUGUCAUCAGGCUGUUGUUCUGCAAAUGUGGCCUCCGGGUCUCCAGUGAGCCAUGAGGAUCUGUCUGAGGGUCUCCGACUGAAUCAACUAUCCAGCAAGCUGCAAGAAUGAUUACAGAACAGACAAACCAGAAGGCAAGAGUCUUGGCCGUGGAGAUUCCUGACCAUGUCUCCAGAACUUUUCUCCGAAUCCUACUAGCUGGACAGACUUAGUGACUCCUUAUUCUUCAGUUUGUUUAUCCACCAUCAUGGUCAAGAUGGAAUGGACUGCUGCCUCGUGAAGCUCCGUUCAUCCAGAGAUCUUCCGCUCCUCCUCAUUGUCCAUAACCCAACGCAAGGCAGUCACCCUUCCUGCCUCCAAAGCUUCCCAAGAGGGAGAGCAUCCUGCUCCUUGCUGUCGAGGGCAGAAGUCAUAGAGGGACACGAAUUCCCACCCCCACGGGAGGCGCGAAGCUGUCAUCCUACUGCCCCCAAAUCACUGGUCUUGUCAUAGCUGACCACAUGGCAGUCCCAACUCUACCCUCCACCCGGAUCUUGGAACCCAGCCAUGAUUUGGCCAUCUCAAACUUCUACUUUGUCCAAAUCCACCCCAUACAACCCCAACUGUGGCCUCUCAACCCUGGCUUGUCAUCCAAUGCCACCUCUGCAAAACCUCAAAUUCCACUGCUCAAAGCCCAGUUGAACUUUGCAUUGGGACUGAUGCACGUUAACAUCUCCAAAAAAAGAUUUGCAGUUGCUUAUGGAUCAAACACAAAUAAAAUCGCACCAGUGGGAUGAAAGCAGAGAGCGGUGGAAGGAACCAGAAGGAACAGAGCCGUGACGACUGGAGAAGGUGAUAACAUGCCCAUGGCUGAGCUCACAUGGACCUUGCGUGACCUGGGAAGAAAGGACUGUCUCUGGAAAUGGAUCCUGUAAACAACAGACCUAUGAGGAAAUGUGGCAGCAGGUACAAAGAACAGAAUCACAGGGCUGGCAGGGACACUGGAGGUCAAGAUCAGCAGCCAUGGGAAGGUGAAGUUCACUCUUAAUGACUAAGAGGAAACAGAAAAUGAGGAGGGUACUUUGAAAGAAGGCUCCAAGGACCAUGUGCAACUUUUCAGGUAACCUUAGAGGAAAGCAAAAACCUGGAAUAGAAACACUGAAGGAGAAAUAACCAAAGAGUUAUUACCAACAUCCUGGUCAUCUUGAAGAGAAAUAAAAUUAAAUGUAAGUUAA